rnacentral:rRNA from 1 species
UACGUAGGUGGCAAGCGUUGUCCGGAAUUAUUGGGCGUAAAGCGCGCGCAGGCGGUCCUUUAAGUCUGAUGUGAAAGCCCACGGCUCAACCGUGGAUGGUCAUUGGAAACUGGGGGACUUGAGUACAGAAGAGGAAAGCGGAAUUCCACGUGUAGCGGUGAAAUGCGUAGAGAUGUGGAGGAACACCAGUGGCGAAGGCGGCUUCUGGUCUGUAACUGACGCUGAGGCGCGAAAGCGUGGGGAGCAAACAGG